UAAUACUUCAUGGCAUUAGCAGUAAUGGCAAUAGCAGUCAUAACAAUGGUCUUUAUGGCAAACAUUCUGUAUAAGAAAUAUUCUAUAAAUGGGAAGCACUAUUAAUAACACCCUUGGGAUAUUGUGGCUUUUAUGUGAGAGAGAACCAAAGAACAUCUGGAUUUUUCCAUGUCACUUUUGUUCUUAAAUAAUAAUUAUGUCUUCUCAGACCAAUUUUUAUUGUAUAUGCUGAUUUUUUUCUUCUCUUCCUACCUUCCUUAUUCUUAAAGAGUUUGGUGUUUGGAAGAACAAUCAAGUUAAUAAGGGUAUGUCAAGUUCUUAUUUGCCACAGCCUCUCACAGUUCUGGGAGAGCAGUCCCAGGUGUCCCGGAGACAGGGAAGAGAAUUACACAUAAUCUUAGUUUGGGACCAUAGAAGCAGCAUUGCACUGACUCCACCUUUGUUUGCACAACCAACGCCUACAAAUGUUUCAGGCAUACAAUAUCAUUUAAUCUAUGUUGGAGUUGGGUUGGGAUGCUUUACAGAGGGUUACUGAAUAGAAAUGAGGCUCAGACUAUGUGCCUAAGAAUUGCUCAGGAUGUGUGUGAAGGGGUGGUGGGAAUGCUUUUUCCUCACUGCUGAAGUUUCCUUUCAUGUGGAGGGAUAUAAAUUAGAGUGGUAUUUCUACCCUUGGCUUGUCAGCAGAAGUAAAGUGGCCUACUUGUGAUUUUCAAAGGAGAAACAUGGCAUAUUAGUCCAGGUGAUCCUGCCACUUCCUCAUGAGAUUUAGAUGGCCUCCAAGCUUACAUUCUCUUCAUUCCAGAAGCCUGCACCCAGGGGUGAGCCUUUCUGGCUGGCAUUACCUGUGACUGAGAGGAUGCUUUUCUAAUUCUGGGGCUCAACAUCAGAAAACAGGCUUACAAACAUGAACUACCUCUUCUAAUCUAAAUCUCAAAAGUAAGAUUUAUGAUGUAUGUUGAGUCGUUUUUCUUGCUUCUCAAUUGAUUUAGAACUCAGGAGAUGAAGAGUGUCACUGAGGCUCCCAACAAGAAUAGAGUUUGUUAAACAAUACUGAUAAUUAGACUUCACCCCUAGACAUUUUGCUUUAGUAGGUCUAAGGGUAGACAACUCCUAGAAAUCUUUAUUUUUAACAAGAUUCCAGGUAGGAAUGCAGUAGGCUCCCAGGCUGACUCUGGAAACAUUUUUAGGUGUAUUUAGGAGAGACUGUGAUGCCCCAGCAUCAAGAAGAUUUUUAAAUGGAGCACUCUAAAUUCCUGUAAAUUCAUGAAUUCAUCUAGUUCUCUACAUUAGAAUUUUUUAUUUAAUUUUUGGUAAAAUUAUAUAGCAAAAAUUAAUAUUUAUUGAGAAGCUAUUUUUAUUAGUCACAUUUUCACAAUAAUUUUACAUUAUUCUAACCUUUAAAAUAAUUAUAAAGGCAUGCAUUUUUUUACUCCAAAUUUCUCCAGAUGAGGAAUCCAGGCCCAAAGAAAUCUAAUGACUUUCUUAAAACUUUACAGGCAACUAAAUGACAGCUAUAGGGUUUGGACCCACAUCUGUUCGGCUCAGUGUUUUUUCCGCUACACUACUUUGCCUUCUCAUUUAUACCUAUAUGUAUUAUCAGUAGAUCCAAAGAACUAGAGUUUCUUCUACCUUACAAUAUAAUAUCCAAAAAAUCUGUUUUAUUCCAGUAUCAAAUUGUCUCCAGAUCAUGGUUGGUACUUACAAUAUUCUCUAAAUAAUAUAGUAUAUCUUCAUUGAGACAGUGCAUGGAUGAAUUAAAAGAUAUAAAUUCAUGUGAGAUAAAUUCAUGUGACUCCAUAUUCUCUUUCCAAUGAUGUAUAAUUGUUAAUAAACAAACCAUGGCUUCUUUUCAUUACCUCAUUUUCUAUAUAGUGAUCAAAAGUGAAAGUUAUUAAUUUGGUAGUACUUCCCUUCGUGGCUCAGUGGUUAACGAACCCGACUAGGAUCCAUGAGGAUGGAGGUUCGAUCCCUGGCUUCACUCAGUGGGUUGGGGAUUCGGCAUUGCUGUGAGCUGUGGUGCAUGUCACAGACACUGCUCGGAUCCCACAUUGCUGUGGCUGUGGCAUAAGCUGGCGGCUGCAGCUCAAAUUGGACCCUAACCUGGGAACCUCCAUAUGCCACCAGUGCGGACCUAAAAAAAGCAAAAAAAAAAAAAAAAAAAAAA
rnacentral:lncRNA from 1 species